rnacentral:rRNA from 1 species
GACGAACGCUGGCGGCGUGCUUAACACAUGCAAGUCGAGCGGUAAGGCCCUUUCGGGGGUACACGAGCGGCGAACGGGUGAGUAACACGUGGGUGACCUGCCUUUAGCUCUGGGAUAAGCCUGGGAAACUGGGUCUAAUACCGGAUAUGACUCCAUGAUGCAUGUUGUGGGGUGGAAAGCCUUGUGCGGCUGGAGAUGGGCCCGCGGCCUAUCAGCUUGUUGGUGGGGUGANGGCCUACCAAGGCGACGACGGGUAGCCGGCCUGAGAGGGUGACCGGCCACACUGGGACUGAGACACGGCCCAGACUCCUACGGGAGGCAGCAGUGGGGAAUCUUGCGCAAUGGGCGAAAGCCUGACGCAGCGACGCCGCGUGAGGGAUGAC